rnacentral:rRNA from 1 species
UACAGAGGCUGCAAGCGUUAUUCGGAUUCACUGGGCGUAAAGGGUGCGCAGGCGGCCGUGUGUGUGAGACGUGAAAGCCUGGAGCUUAACUCCAGAAUUGCACUUCAAACUACACGGCUAGAGCAUUGGAGAGGGUAGCAGAAUUCACGGUGUAGCAGUGAAAUGCGUAGAUAUCGUGAGGAAUACCAGAGGCGAAGGCGGCUACCUGGACAAUUGCUGACGCUCAGGCACGAAAGCGUGGGGAGCAAAAGGG